GAUGAAGAACGUAGCGAAAUGCGAUAAGUAGUGUGAAUUGCAGAAUUCCGUGAAUCAUCGAAUCUUUGAACGCACAUUGCGCCUUUUGGUAUUCCGGAAGGCAUGCCUGUUCAAGAGUCAUUGACUUUACUUCUUUGAUCCCCUUUUAUUGUCAAAGGGCUUGGUUCUGGUGGAUGAGGAGAGGUGGGGUGAACAUUAAACCGAUCUCUCCUCACUACUGAAAUUGAGAGGCAGUCGGCCCCCAUGCGUUGAGGCGUUGUAAAAUCUGCUAAUGCAUGUUUUCGCUAGCAUCCGCAUGGAAGAUUGGCUUGCCAUCUAGUUUGAAAAACCCUCAAUCAAUCAAUGGUUGACCUCGGAUCAGGUAGGGAUACCCGCUGAACUUAAGCAUAUCAAUAAGCGGAGGA
rnacentral:misc_RNA from 1 species